GAUUUCCACUGUGGUGUCAGCAACACUUCCUAAAACCCCGAACACAUGGUUCACCCAACCAGUCAACAUCACCUUUAAACACACCAAAGAGUUAGACCCUGAAGGUAGACUCUACUGUGUGUACUGGAUGGAUAAAGAAUGGGUUGAAAUUGGCUGUGCUGUUCUAGAAAGUAAUAGCACUCACACUAUGUGUUCCUGUAAUCACCUGUCAGUGUUUGCUCUCAUCAUGGAGGUUGUUCCAUGUAAGAAACUAUUUGGAGCCACAUUGUCUCUGCACUGUAACCCUCUGCUGGACAUGUCCAUUGCUCAGGGAGUGGGAGUUUUCUUCCUGUCCUUGUGUCUACUGACAUUUGAUUUUUGUUGUCAGAACCCAAAUAAA